AGAACGAACGCUGGCGGCAUGCCUAAUACAUGCAAGUCAAACGAACUCUUCGGAGUUAGUGGCGCACGGGUGCGUAACGCGUGGGAAUCUGCCCUUGGGUUCGGAAUAACAGUUGGAAACGACUGCUAAUACCGGAUGAUGACGAAAGUCCAAAGAUUUAUCGCCCAGGGAUGAGCCCGCGUAGGAUUAGCUAGUUGGUGAGG
rnacentral:rRNA from 1 species